rnacentral:rRNA from 1 species
ACGAACGCUGGCGGCGUGCUUAACACAUGCAAGUCGAACGGAAAGGCCCUGCUUUUGUGGGGUGCUCGGGUGGCGAACGGGUGAGUAACACGUGAGUAACCUGCCCUUGACUUUGGGAUAACUUCAGGAAACUGGGGCUAAUACCGGAUAGGAGCUCCUGCUGCAUGGUGGGGGUUGGAAAGUUUCGGCGGUUGGGGAUGGACUCGCGGCUUAUCAGCUUGUUGAUGGGGUAGUGGCUUACCAAGGCUUUGACGGGUAGCCGGCCUGAGAGGGUGACCGGCCACAUUGGGACUGAGAUACGGCCCAGACUCCUACAGGAGGCAGCAGUGGGGAAUAUUGCACAAUGGGCGGAAGCCUGAUGCAGCAACGCCGCGUGCGGGAUGACGGCCUUCGGGUUGUAAACCGCUUUCGCCUGUGACGAAGCGUGAGUGACGGUAAUGGGUAAAGAAGCACCGGCUAACUACGUG